GUCUUCUGCUGAGGGAAGCACUGGGAUGACUCAGCCUGUUUAAGAGAUUUCUUAAUUACAGCCAUGCACUGCAGACUGAUGUUGCAAUCAACAACAGACCACGGAUACCACAGUGGCCAGCAGCAGCCUUGUACAUUGCAUGUUACCACAUGUCUUGAAUGUAUCAUUUUCUCUUGUGCUUGAUUUAGUCUCCUAUUAUUUUACCCAUCACGGCGCAUAAACAUACAAAAUCCAGUGCUAAUAUUGCCAUUAAGAGGCUACAUCAAGUGAUUGACCUGGAAAUGAAAUUGAAAGUGGUGAAGGACCAUGAAGCUGGCAGAUCACUGAUGGGUACUGCACACCAGUCAUUUCCACCACAGCUACAAUCUUAAGGAAUAAAGUGACAGAAGCAGGAAAUGGAUCUGCUUCGUUGAAUGCAGUGAGACCAGCAAAAAUUCAAGAAAAACUCAUUUCAGACAUGGAGAAACUUCUAGUGACCCGAAUUGAAGACCAGACACCGAAGUACAUCUUCAGCAUCCUGAAGAUCAUGACUAAAGCAAAGUGUUUAUUUGCACUGUUGGAAGAAAAGGCUGGAAGAGACUAGGAUGUUGAAUUUACUGCUCACUAUGGCUUUAUAGGAUUCGUGAAUGAUUCAUAACAAUGUGAAAUUGAGCGUUGAGUCUGAGUGCAGAUAUAAAGCCAACUGAAGAACUUUGGGAAGAGAGAAGAUUAGUGGAGGGAAAUUAUUGCCAAAGCAAAUCCUUAAUCCCACAGAGGUUUGUAGAAAUAUACUGCUGUUUGCACAGGGGUGAGAUCACCUGACAGUGCAGUCACCUAAUGGCAUGUCUCAGAAAGUUUCCCCUCCACUAAGUCAGACAUGGUUGCUUCAUCAGGCUACCAAAUCCUAUUAUGUCCUAUUUUUCCCUGAGUCAACUGGCUUCUCCAUUUAGGCUGCCAUAAUAAAACACCGUAGCCUGUGUAAUAGCCAAACAGUAGAAAUUAAUCGCUCACAGUUCUGGAGAAUGGAAAGUCCAAGAUCAAGGCACCAGCAGAUUCGGAGUCUGGUGUCUACACUGUUCCCUAAGAUGGAGCCUUCUUGCUGUGCCCUCACAUGGUGGAAGGGGCAAAUGAGCUCUGCGGUCUCUCUUCUAAGUGCACUAAUCCUAUUCAUGAGGGCCAACUCCUCAGGACCUGAUAACCGCCUAAAAGUCCAUCUCAUACUCUUGCUUUGGGAUUUGGAUUCAACAUUCAAGUUGUGAUUGAGAAAUACAAUGUGUAUGUAAAUAAAACAUUACGAUAAAAGUGACAUCGCCAUUCCUCCCUCUCAGAAACUCCCCUCUCAGAUUAAACACACACAUUUCUUGCCACUUCCUGAA